AAAAUUGCCACUUGAUGAGGGCACCAUCUACAGCACACUAGUGCAUUUGUUUUUAAUUAUUUAUUUGAGUUUAAAAUAAAAAGAAGGGAAACCAGCUAUUAUAGGGAGACUGUCACUUGCAUCCUAUUAAAAAAAAAGAAAAAAAAAAGAACCCAAUGGGAGAAAUACAAUAGAGCCAUUUAGUGAAAACAUAUAACCCAAACUAGGGUUUCUCACCCAGACAAUCGGAGAACAACGCUUCAACUCCUAGUCACUUCAACACUUCUGGCCCAUCAUCAAUCACCCGCGAGAGAGAUGUGCAAAACACUGGGUAUUUAACGUGCAAAGCUUCUAACUUGAAUAUUUCUUCCCUUCUUUUGAAAUCAUAUGUGUUGCUAAACUUAGACAAAGAAAAGUUAAUGCUCAACUGCGG
rnacentral:lncRNA from 1 species